rnacentral:rRNA from 1 species
AAAUUGAAGAGUUUGAUCAUGGCUCAGAUUGAACGCUGGCGGCAGGCCUAACACAUGCAAGUCGAACGGUAACAGGAAGCAGCUUGCUGCUUUGCUGACGAGUGGCGGACGGGUGAGUAAUGUCUGGGAAACUGCCUGAUGGAGGGGGAUAACUACUGGAAACGGUGGCUAAUACCGCAUAACGUCGCAAGACCAAAGAGGGGGACCUUCGGGCCUCUUGCCAUCAGAUGUGCCCAGAUGGGAUUAGCUUGUUGGUGAGGUAACGGCUCACCAAGGCGACGAUCCCUAGCUGGUCUGAGAGGAUGACCAGCCACACUGGAACUGAGACACGGUCCAGACUCCUACGGGAGGCAGCAGUGGGGAAUAUUGCACAAUGGGCGCAAGCCUGAUGCAGCCAUGCCGCGUGUAUGAAGAAGGCCUUCGGGUUGUAAAGUACUUUCAGCGGGGAGGAAGGUGUUGUGGUUAAUAACCGCAGCAAUUGACGUUACCCGCAGAAGAAGCACCGGCUAACUCCGUGCCAGCAGCCGCGGUAAUACGGAGGGUGCAAGCGUUAAUCGGAAUUACUGGGCGUAAAGCGCACGCAGGCGGUCUGUCAAGUCGGAUGUGAAAUCCCCGGGCUCAACCUGGGAACUGCAUUCGAAACUGGCAGGCUUGAGUCUUGUAGAGGGGGGUAGAAUUCCAGGUGUAGCGGUGAAAUGCGUAGAGAUCUGGAGGAAUACCGGUGGCGAAGGCGGCCCCCUGGACAAAGACUGACGCUCAGGUGCGAAAGCGUGGGGAGCAAACAGGAUUAGAUACCCUGGUAGUCCACGCCGUAAACGAUGUCUACUUGGAGGUUGUGCCCUUGAGGCGUGGCUUCCGGAGCUAACGCGUUAAGUAGACCGCCUGGGGAGUACGGCCGCAAGGUUAAAACUCAAAUGAAUUGACGGGGGCCCGCACAAGCGGUGGAGCAUGUGGUUUAAUUCGAUGCAACGCGAAGAACCUUACCUGGUCUUGACAUCCACGGAAGAAUUUCAGAGAUGAGGAUUUGUGCCUUCGGGAACCGUGAGACAGGUGCUGCAUGGCUGUCGUCAGCUCGUGUUGUGAAAUGUUGGGUUAAGUCCCGCAACGAGCGCAACCCUUAUCCUUUGUUGCCAGCGGUCCGGCCGGGAACUCAAAGGAGACUGCCAGUGAUAAACUGGAGGAAGGUGGGGAUGACGUCAAGUCAUCAUGGCCCUUACGACCAGGGCUACACACGUGCUACAAUGGCGCAUACAAAGAGAAGCGACCUCGCGAGAGCAAGCGGACCUCAUAAAGUGCGUCGUAGUCCGGAUUGGAGUCUGCAACUCGACUCCAUGAAGUCGGAAUCGCUAGUAAUCGUGGAUCAGAAUGCCACGGUGAAUACGUUCCCGGGCCUUGUACACACCGCCCGUCACACCAUGGGAGUGGGUUGCAAAAGAAGUAGGUAGCUUAACCUUCGGGAGGGCGCUUACCACUUUGUGAUUCAUGACUGGGGUGAAGUCGUAACAAGGUAACCGUAGGGGAACCUGCGGUUGGAUCACCUCCUUACCUUAAAGAA